GAGGGUAUAGCUCAGUGGUAGAGCUCAUGUUUAGCACGCACAAGGUCCUGGGUUCAAUCCCCAAUACCUCCA
rnacentral:tRNA from 1 species